rnacentral:rRNA from 1 species
UGGGGAAUUUUGGACAAUGGGCGCAAGCCUGAUCCAGCAAUGCCGCGUGUGUGAAGAAGGCCUUCGGGUUGUAAAGCACUUUUGUCAGGGAAGAAAAGGACAGCCCUAAUAUGGCAGUCUGAUGACGGUACCUGAAGAAUAAGCACCGGCUAACUACGUGCCAGCAGCCGCGGUAAUACGUAGGGUGCGAGCGUUAAUCGGAAUUACUGGGCGUAAAGCGUGCGCAGGCGGUCUGUUAAGACAGAUGUGAAAUCCCCGGGCUUAACCUGGGAACUGCAUUUGUGACUGGCAAGCUAGAGUAUGGCAGAGGGGGGUGGAAUUCCACGUGUAGCAGUGAAAUGCGUAGAGAUGUGGAGGAACACCGAUGGCGAAGGCAGCCCCCUGGGCCAAUACUGACGCUCAUGCACGAAAGCGUGGGGAGCAAACAGG